rnacentral:lncRNA from 10 species
GCAGGGUCAUUUCCAGCGAGCUGCGCGCGCUCCUCCAGCCUGAUGCUGCGCAUGGAUCAGCGGGCACCAGGGGCAGCCACCGAGCCGGCCUCCUGCGGCCAACAAGCCAACAAGCAGGGCCGGGCUCACAACGGAGGUCUUCCCAAUCUCUCAGAUACAGACGAUUCCCGCUCAGUGCCUGAAAAAUGUUAACAUCGGCAGGAGCCGGCGUGGAGCACACAUUCCUGACUGCUUUUGGCUGCUCGUCAGCCCCGGUCUUCACACGAGUUUAUCUUUAUGUAACACAGGCUUUCUAAACACUUCAACAUUGCCAUGAAAUCAAGAUAAUUUCUGGCAAUUAAAGACCUGACUCACCCAUUGUUCCUGCGCAUUGUCAUUCUAGGAAAUUCCCUCAAGUGGGGCUCCCGGUGACCCGCCCGCCAUGUGUCAGGCCACCUCGCCCCUGGAAAGCAGCUUUUUUCCAGAUUUGAUCAGAACAAGCUGCUUCUCUCCCCCUGGCCUUUCCCGGAAGGAGCCCACUUUCCCAACGCUUCCUGGGUUCACCUGAAUUCCUUACCAACAUGUAUUUCUUCCACUUUGUUAUUUUUGGAUUAAUGUAAAUGAAGUCUGUCUUGGGCUCUCUAAGAUAAAUGAAAGGGAUGCUAGGGUCAGAAGCUUCAGUGUUGGCUCUGCUGGAGAAAGAUUAAGGGCUGAACGCCUCGAGGGUGGAGAGGCACCGUCACCUUCUCAGCCUGGAGAGCUCUGUCCAGCUCUGCAGACGAGGCCCUGGAAGCUCACCUGAAGCCGACGAAGGGAGGAGGGAGUGGAGUGCCCACUGCCCGGGCUAGGGCAGCCAGACCCUGGCGGCUUCGUGGCAGCUGCUGUACUCAUUGCCAGCUUCAGGGCGGUGGGACCACGGAGGAAGAACGUGAACGCCUGGACUCCCACUUGGAAUCUGAAUGCAGUCCAGGGAUUUGGCAUUUGAGUCCCUAGAGCUCGUUGCUAGCCAUCCUCCUCCCCGGCGAGAAUAAUCCAUUUCAAACUUCUGAGCUGUCUAGACUUGUUAUCUGGCCCCCUAAUUCCUGAGAGCCUAGAGCGGGCAGCAGCGGGACCGCCGAGAUAGCAAGGGGGUGAGGUCAUUGGCGCGGUCCCGAGGCAGGAAGUCCAUUCCGGGGGACGAUGGAUGAGUGUGGAGCUGGUGCCCGAACGGGGCCAGAUAACGCGUCUAGACCCGGCAGGCCGUUUCCUCCUCUUCCCCGGUGUCCUAUCGGCAUCCUCCUGCCUUCCUGCUGCUCUUCCGAGCCUCUCUGGAGAAGCCUCUCAGGAGGUUUUACUUCAUUUUCAGUGUAAGGGGCGGCCGGUGUCUCUUGGCCUCGGCUAGGUGUGGGCGCGUUUUCUAAGUCACAGUGACGGUGGGGCCGGGAGGCCUUUCUGGAGAGGCCGUGCUGGCCUCUGUCACUUUGUCCUUUCAGAGAGUUCAGUGGGUUAGGGGAAAAAUGACGUUUUCUCUCCCUGGUCUCCAAAGGUCAGUGGAAGGCCAGUGGUGGGACUGGGAGGACAGGAGUUGAUGUCAAACAGACCCAGAAAUUUCCACAAGUCCUGGGGGACAAAAGAGCCUGGAGCAAGUCUUAUCUAAGACAGCCCCUGGGAGCCGCAGAAUGCCGAAUAAACUCGCCUUUCCGGAAGGAGUGGCUAAUUUCAUUGGCCCAUGUGCACUCUGGCUGAUCUUGAAUCCUGGGGCUAGGGUUGGACAAGAGGUCAAAAGGUCAUUUGGUUCAAUCCCCUGCCUCCAGGCAGGAUUCCCCCAGCAAAGAGGAAUCGUGUGUGUUCCAAUAUUCAAAGACACACGUGGGGGCUGCAGGAGAGGAAGUGGCCUCCGGAGCACCUGCGGGGGUGGAUGAAGUGGUAAUCCCCACCAGCUGUGCUGAGUCUCUGAGCCCCAAUAGUGCUGUGGGUUUGGAACAACUGCAUUGUGGGGAACAUCUGUGCAGAAGGGUACGGUGUGUCAGGAGGGCCACUGCCACCCCAAUGAUGAUGACAACGGUAAAAGCAAAAAUGAAUUGAGCACGCACUGAUGCCAGCUGAUGUCAAGUGGCUGGACAAAUGCUGGUGAAUCUCAUUUAAUCAUAAAAUAAACCUGGGCAGGGGCUGUCAUAAUUAUGCCCCAACUGAGGCUCAAAGGAAAGGUGUCUGCCGAAGGCACCUGGUUUGUAAGAAGUAGGGUGGGAAUGUGAGCCCAGGUGAGGCUGCUUUCAGAGCUCAGGAUGGAAUAGCUCAACUCUUCUGCCCUAAACACAUGUGUUCGAUUCAUGAAGGUCUCUGUGUCUUGUUUAUUGCCUGGUGGACAGGUGGGGGUGGCUGAGGGUGGCACAGGCUACACAGCUAAUGAACAAGAGGUCAGGAUGCUAACUCAUAUCUCUAGACCCCACAUUCUCACCAACCCCUCCCUGUUCCCCCAUAAGCAGUAUCCCCCUGGCAAAACAUGUUCCCUUUCCAUGGGAAAAGUAAUAUUUAUAAAGAAGGGCCUGUCUGCAGGGGACCAGCUAAAUACAUAGAUAAUGAACAGGCUGUUCGAGGGAGUAGUAUACAGCCAUGAAAAGGAAUCAGAGCUCUUUACAUGCCAACAUCUACUUAUCACCAAAAGAGAUGACUGAAAACAGCAAGGUGCAGGGCAGUGUGGAUAGUGUGUGUGUACAUACAUACAUGCAUGCGUGUGUGUGUGUAUACAGUCAAGCACUGCAUAACCACGUUUCAGCCAAUGGUGGAGUGCAUAUACAAUGGUGGUCUCAUGAGAUGAUCAUGCCAUAUUUUUAUUGUCCUUUUUGUUGUUUAGAUACACAAAUACUUACCAUUGUGUUGCAGUUGCCUACAGUAUUCAGUGUAUAACAUGCUGUACAGGUUUGUAGCCUUGGAGCAAUAGACUCUACCGUACAGCCUAGGUGUCUAACAGGCUGUACCAUCUAGGUGUGUGUAAGUGCACUCUAAGAUGUUAACAGAGUGACAGAAACAUGUAGUGAUGCAUUUGUCAGAAUGUAUCUCUGUCUUUAGGUGGUGCAUGACUGUGUAUGUAUAUAUAUGUAUGUAUAUACUUACAUGUGUGGAAGGAUAUGCACUUACCUACUUUUAUGCAUGUAAGUAUAUGCUUACAGGCCUAAAACAUCUGAAAAUAUAGGCACCCCUGGGAAGGUGGCUGUGGGAACAGGUGAGAGGGAGAUACCUUUUUGUAUCUUGAAUUUUUAGCAAGGUGACUGACCUUAAAAAGAAAACAAAAACUCCAUCCUGUUUUUUAAACAGAGUUGUUCUCAUGAAUAAUAAACAGGCCCCCUUUGUGCAAAUAAAACCUCUUGUCUUGCCUCCCCAGGUGUCUCAGAAGUGAGCCAAGGGCAUACCUGUGGGCAGUGAGUGUCCCAGCCUGGAGCCGGGCAUGGGUGCUCGGUGCCCACAGCUGCACCCCUGUCCACCUACCCCUGGAUGGAGUUGCUCAGUCCUGGGGCCAGGUGAUGCACUAACCCCGACAGGGUUUUGCAGCCCUGAGAUUCUAGAACCCCCUAUAGAAGCCACAGUCCUCAGUCCCAUCAGCGCCCAAGCACACUUUCCUGCUGGUUCAGCAAAAAGUUUCUUGUAAGAACUUUAAAUGCCUUCUCUGAGGCAAGAGGCUGGAACCCUGCAGGCGCUGACACCUAAGUAUUUACCAGCCUCCCCAGAACUCGGACUUUCUGCCUUGCCCGUGGAGAGGGGCAGGGGUUAUCUGCGGGUGGGCAGUUGGGGCUGCCCUGGGCCCUCCCUCCCUGUGGCAUCUGCUAAAGCCAUUAAGGUCCCUCCCUUCUCAGCAACAGUCAGUGUCUUCUUAGUGCCCAGCUCAGGUUUCUGACCUCCAAGGAGUCCAAAGUCUUCGCAGAUCCCAGGGCCAAAAGGACUUUUCAUAAUUCGGAUGAAGAAAGGCAGGGGACUCGGGAUGGCCGGGAAGAGGAACAAAGGCAAACGCACCCCCUUCAGAAAUAGAUCUGAG